rnacentral:rRNA from 1 species
UACAGAGGUCUCAAGCGUUUGUUCGGAUUCAUUGGGCGUAAAGGGUGCGUAGGCGGCGCGGUAAGUCGGGUGUGAAAGUCAAAGGCUCAACCUUUGAAAGCCGGUGGAUACUGUGGGACUAGAGUACGGAAGAGGCGAGUGGAAUUCCUGGUGUAGCGGUGGAAUGCGCAGAUAUCAGGAGGAACACCGAUGGCGAAGGCAGCUCUCGUGGGACGGUACUGACGCUGAGACGCGAAAGCGUGGGGAGCGAACAGG